GACCGCGUAGCUCAGUUGGAAGAGCAUUGGGCUAGUAUUCCAAAGGUCGUAGGUUCGAAUCCCACCGUGGCCU